UACAGAGGUGGCAAGCGUUGUUCGGAAUUACUGGGCGUAAAGGGCUCGUAGGUGGCCAACUAAGUCAGACGUGAAAUCCCUCGGCUUAACCGGGGAACUGCGUCUGAUACUGGAUGGCUUGAGUUCGGGAGAGGGAUGCGGAAUUCCAGGUGUAGCGGUGAAAUGCGUAGAUAUCUGGAGGAACACCGGUGGCGAAGGCGGCAUCCUGGACCGAUACUGACACUGAGGAGCGAAAGCCAGGGGAGCAAACGGG
rnacentral:rRNA from 1 species